UGAAGCAGUGAGAUUAUGUGC
rnacentral:piRNA from 1 species